rnacentral:lncRNA from 1 species
UCACGGGGGCGGCUUUGCGACCGGAUUCUCGAACGGCGGAGGUGGAGUAGUGACAUCAUCGCACGGAGGCGGCGGAGGAGGAUACCACAAGUAGAGGAUCCCGGAGACUCCUCAUAU